AUUGAACGCUGGCGGCAGGCCUAACACAUGCAAGUCGAGCGGUAGAGAGAAGCUCGCUUCUCUUGAGAGCGGCGGACGGGUGAGUAAUGCCUAGGAAUCUGCCUGGUAGUGGGGGAUAACGUUCGGAAACGGACGCUAAUACCGCAUACGUCCUACGGGAGAAAGCAGGGGACCUUCGGGCCUUGCGCUAUCAGAUGAGCCUAGGUCGGAUUAGCUAGUUGGUGGGGUAAUGGCUCACCAAGGCGACGAUCCGUAACUGGUCUGAGAGGAUGAUCAGUCACACUGGAACUGAGACACGGUCCAGACUCCUACGGGAGGCAGCAGUGGGGAAUAUUGGACAAUGGGCGAAAGCCUGAUCCAGCCAUGCCGCGUGUGUGAAGAAGGUCUUCGGAUUGUAAAGCACUUUAAGUUGGGAGGAAGGGCAGUAAAUUAAUACUUUGCUGUUUUGACGUUACCGACAGAAUAAGCACCGGCUAACUCUGUGCCAGCAGCCGCCGUAA
rnacentral:rRNA from 1 species